rnacentral:lncRNA from 10 species
GGCCAGUCCAGCAUCUCAGAGAGAGUGACAUGGAAGCCCAGAUGCAUCUUCUGUGGAUGGUCCUUUAGAGACCUGAUGGAGGCUGAUCCCUCCUGCCCUCCAGGAAGCAUAUCUGAUGUGCCACUUCCUGCAACAAGUCCCGUACCUUCUUAUCCUCCACGCUGUCUCCCCCUGUAUUUCAUCACGAAGAUAUGUGGCUGUAUGUGUGGGACGGGGAUUCUACCUGAUGCAGCUGCAGCAGAGGCCCCAGGGCUCCCCAAAGAAGACCACCUGGAAGGCUUCCUGGAGGUGCAGGCCAAGAAGGAAGCUGUGAAGGAUGACAUCAGAUGUUUCUUUUUACAUUAAUACUUAGUGUUCAUCCAUGGAAAAAUGAGUUGUACUUCUGCUAAUGUCAAGGGCAAGACUCAAAUUCAAAAAACAUCACCACUACCAAUAAACAAAACCAAAGGGAAAGGAUUCCUUAUCAGCAGACAGUUACAGCUCCCACUAGGACACUGCCUUCUCAGCGGCUUCAGUUAUCAGAUAUUCCUGGACAUACUUUCCAAGCCAUGAAAAAUAACAGCCACAGCUUUCCCAGCACUCUGACAAACAUCCAUGAGCCCCCAAAGACCGGGAAGUAAUGAUGAUGCAGCUGCGGCACCAUAGAAGAAACAAGUGAUUUCAGUCAAAGGGCCUGGACUCACGAGCUAGCAACUUUGGACAGAUUCUUGAACUCUCAGCCUCAGUUUCUGCUUCUGUAAAGGGAGAUAACUACAGUGACCUUCAGGUUAUCUUGAAGAUGCCAAUGAGCUAGUGAAAAUGCAAUUUAAUCUGUACAGAACUAAACAAAUGUAAGUCAGUGCUAAUAUUCUGUUCCUAGUGGGGACAUGCCAAGUCUCUUUACUGCAACCAGUGGUUCACAUAUGGAAAUAUUGUGCUAAUUUCCAACUCCUACUUAUAUAUAUGAUUUGUUAACUCUGGAGGAUGCAGCCAUCAGCAUAAGCAACCAACAGAAGAACACGCUGGAUCCUCUCCUUUUCCUGACAGUGUGUAGUCUUCAUGGGGGUGGACAGGCUAGAUUUAAAACGAUGGGCGGAUUGAUUAUUUUUCUGCAUCUAUUUCCAGGGUUGUAAUGUAUAUUCUCUUUCUCCCACAUCCCGCCUUCUAUUUUCUUCUCCCUACACAGGCUCUUUUAAUACAAAUUAAUUAAAAGCAGGCAUCUUAAGAGGUGGCUUAAGAAGACUCCUGCAUCAUCAUAGGGAGUUAAAAUUCUGAGCAAAAAGCCUUCUGGAGGAGAAGCAUAGGACAGGCAGCCCCAAGACUGGACUGGAUAGAUGUUGCUGAGCCACCAACUCUCUGAGGGACCUGAGACAAAGCCAGGUGACCUCACCAGUGCUCCAUGUUCUCACCAUAAGUUCUAUAGGACACUCAAAUAUUCUCAGGACAUCAGUUUACUAUACACAUGCACACACACAUAUUUUACAUUUCAUUCAAAGGGUAAAACAUAGACUCCCUUUGUUCUAUAAACCUACAAACAUGUCUGAGCAUUUUUUACAUAAAUAUUUCACAAAUAUUUUACAUGAAUACUUCGACUUAUAAGUCCAUAUUUUAACAAUGGCAUCUUUUCCAAUGUGUACAUUAUGGAAGUGUGGUUGGGGUGUACAGCCUAGGAGCUCAGGGACUGCACAGGCCUGUUCUUUAUGGAUGCAUUGCAUUCAUCUCCCACAGCCAUUUGUAGCUUCAGCUGUUUCUGAAAGCAGCCACUUUCCCUUUUGAUGUCUGAGGUCCAUUAUUUUCAUUUUUGACUUAACCAACAGGUGUUCUCUCUUGAACUCUUUCCUACAUGAGCUGUCUUGCCUCAGGGUUCCCACGGACAGGAGAGUUUUUCCUACAGUGUUACUGAGAGGCACAGAGAAAUCAGUUCCUCCUGGUCCACUGGCUCCGCUCUCAGCACUGCAGUCUCUUGUGACCACGCUGAAGUCUCAACGUUUCCCCCUUCUGAGGACAUGCAGGGACAGAAGGGUGAACCACAAGGGCCAGACCUAAUGCUCCAGGAAAACAAUGAAAGAACAAUUUUCCAUCCUUUUAUUUAGGGCUUAAGUAAGCCAGGCCUGUAACACCAAAUUGUGAGAGUGCACAAGAUGUUUUUGAACCUUGGUGCAGAAUCCAGAAAGAAGUGCAGCCUCUGGUGACAGGGUCUUGGGCUAGCCAUGUGAAGCCUGGCUUUAUGUCAGGCCUCUCAAAUGUGCUGUACAAACCUACCUGCAGGUCUACUCUAGGCAGAAGGGGUGGACCGAUGGCACCAACAAACACAUCUGUACACACAACAGUGCAGCAGACACUUGUGGAUGGGGUAUGAGACAAGCUGUAGAUGCCCUCAAUUAAAUCUGAGGACAAAAGAAGACUGCCCAGAGAGUGGCACUAGCAUGGCAACAAAAUAUUUCAAAAUAUUAAUGGGUUUUACAUACACGCAUAAAAUCACAUUUUUCUGACCUUAUAACACAUUUCAGUCAUUUAGGUAUUGAGUUUGUAAUGCUUGUGGAUACUCGAAAAAUUGAAAGAGGCAAAGUUAGACUUCUUGUCCCCAAGACUGGAAAUAUGUCCCUUCGUUGGGAGUUGGGUGGUGUUGAAUGCAGUUGGGGUGGAAGGAGAGGAGAGCUAAUGGGAAAACAAAGAAUAAGUAAAUGUUCUACAUUCCUGAGAAAAGGGGCCCUGCCCCCUAGCCAUCUCUGCAGCAAAGCCCUGGGGGAGAGAGAGAGAAUGCUCAGACAUGUUUGUAGGUUUACAGAACAAAGGGAAUCUAUGUUUUACCCUUUGAAUGAAAUACAGGAAAGCAAAAUACCUAGAGCAGAAAUGGCUGUGUGACAUGUCAGACAAGGUCAUAGAGUUUUCCAUGGCCCUGCACUGCCCGUGGCUCAUGUGGCAUGACUGUAGGUGAAACCCAGAAUGGACUCUCAAGGUGCCCUGGGCUCCCUUCCUCAAUGGCUGAAGAAGGCUUCUCUUGACCUAAUGGAGUUUAAAGAGACUUGGGGAUAUAGUGAACUAGACCCCAGAAGCCUUUCAAACAGGAACUAGGGGGCGCCCACCAGGACCUUGUGGACUGACAGUGGAGGCUCAAUGAGACAAAAUGUGUCAUGGAGAUGCCUUCAGGACAGACAGCAUUCGGGAACAGAUACCAGCUCCUUACAGUCUUGGCCUCCAGAUUAGACAUGGCCCUGGAAAAAGGUGAUGGGGGACCUGGAAUUACCAGACAGCAAUUCCGUUCCCCCACUUAGUGGAAUGGGAGCACAACAUGUAAAUUAAAGGAAUUAGAGAAAAACAUUUAAAGUUGCAUUUGUUAUACACCCGAACAUUUAUCCUGAGACUGAUGCCCACUACACUGGUAAAAUCAACCCAUAAUAGAUGUGUUUAGUUUGGGACUAACAUACUCUAAGAGGUGGCUUUGAUUGAUUGAUUCAUUCAUUCAUUAAUUCUCUCCCUCCCUUCCUUCCUCCCUGACUCACCAAAGAGCCAGCCAUUCUGCUGAGUAUUAGCAAUGUUUUUCUUUAAAAAACUCCAAACACCUAUUUCCUGCCCUCAAGAUUUAGAAGUUUGGCUAAGACACGGAGAAGCAUAGAGAGGCAGAAACAGAAAC